rnacentral:rRNA from 1 species
AUUGAACGCUGGCGGCAUGCUUUACACAUGCAAGUCGAACGGUAACAGGCCGCAAGGUGCUGACGAGUGGCGAACGGGUGCGUAAUGCAUCGGAACGUGCCCAGUCGUGGGGGAUAACGCAGCGAAAGCUGUGCUAAUACCGCAUACGAUCUAUGGAUGAAAGCGGGGGACCGUAAGGCCUCGCGCGCUUGGAGCGGCCGAUGUCUGAUUAGGUAGUUGGUGGGGUAAAGGCUCACCAUGCGAACGAUCUGUAGCUGGUCUGAGAGGACGAGCAGCAAGGCUGGGACAGAGACACGGCCAAGACUCCGACGGGAGUCAGCAGUGGGGAGUGUAGGACAAGGGGCGCAAGCCUGAUUCAGCAAUACAACGUGCAGGAAGAAGGCUUUCGGGUUGUAAACUGCUUUUGUACGGAACGAAAAGGUUUGGGUUAAUACCCUGGGCCGAUGACGGUACCGUAAGAAUAAGCACCGGCUAACUACGUGCCAGCCGCCGCAGUAA